rnacentral:rRNA from 1 species
AGUGAACGCUGGCGGUAGGCCUAACACAUGCAAGUCGAACGGCAGCACAGUAAGAGCUUGCUCUUACGGGUGGCGAGUGUCGGACGGGGGAGGAAGACAUCGGAAUCUACUUUUUCAUGGGGGAUAACGUAGGGAAACUUACUCUAAUACCGCAUACGACCUACGGGUGAAAGCAGGCGAUCUUCUGACCUUGCGCGAGUGAAUGAGCCGAUGUCGGAUUCGCUAGUUGGCGGGGUAGAGGGGCAGCAAGGCGACGAUCCGUAGCUGCUCUGAGAGGAUGAUCACACACACUGGCACUGAGACACGGUACAGACUCUUACGCGGGGCCGCAGUGCGGACUAUUAGACGAUGGGGCAAAGCCUGAUCCUGGCCUACCGGGUAGGUGAAGAAGCACCUCGGGUUGUAGAGUCAUUUUGUUGGGAAAGAAGAAAAGCAGGUUAAUCCCCCGUUGUUAUGACGGUACCCAAAGAAUAAGCCCCGGCUAACUUCGUG